ensembl:lncRNA novel transcript, antisense to C10orf32
AAGAUGCAACGCGACCUCCUUCCCACAGCAACGAAAGACUGCGACUCCCCGGACUAUCAGGCCGGGAGAGUCCACUUCCAGCUCACCUCGGAGCUCCGGGAGCCUUUCAGCACCUGCUUGGUGAGCGCGAUUACGUCAGUACCACAGGUGGUCACCUUCUCCGUGAGAAGCCCCUUCACGGACUGACCGAACCGCGCUUGAGACUCUGGCGUUCCAGUCGCCAUCAUUUCAGUUAGCGAACGGUUGCGCACUGACGAUGACGGAGUCUUGCCCUGUCACCCAGGCUGGAGUACACGGGUGUGAUCUUGGCUCACUGCAACCUCCGCCUCCCGGGUUCAAGCGAUUCUCCUGCCUCAGCCUCCCAAGUAGCUGGGACUACAGAUCUGGCAUUUUUUCAUCAUCACUGUCUUGUGAAUGAUCAUCUGCUCCAUCUGCUAAAUCUACAUCCUCUUCACCACCCAUGUGGUUCAUCAUCUCAGAGAAAUAAUCAAAAUCAGACAUGGCUUCAUCUGAACCAUCUUCCCAGUCUUUCCAAUGAUUGGAGUCCACACUAAGCCAGUUA